rnacentral:lncRNA from 1 species
CAUAGGACUUCUCUUUUUCUAUUAAGAUUGAUAGAUUCGAUUUAGGUGCAUCUUACUCCAAACAGUGAAUCUGAACCUACUGAAGUCAACAUACACAGCAAGGAUCUGAAUGACUAGAGAUCAAGAAAAUGUACAGUCAAACUUAGUAGCCUCACUAUGGAUAGCCAAUGACACCACAGGUCAAAAGACUACUCACAUCAC